UAUUAGUAACAGUAGGAUCACUACUCCAAUGUUUCAGGUUUCCUUAAAUAUGUAGGAUCCGUAGUAAAGUCCUCGGCCAAUGUGAAUAUAUGUACAGAUGAAGAAUAGGGAGGCGCCGUUGGCAUGAAUAUUACGGAUUAUUCAUCCGUUGUUAACGUCUCGGCAAAUAUGAACGAUUGAGGAGAACGCGGUCGAGAUAUCUGGGGAGUAGUGUAUUGCCAGGAAUAAUCCUGUUAGAAUUUGGGUAAUUAAGCAUAUUCCUAGAAGAGAGCCGAAGUUUCAUCAAAUUGAAAUGUUGGCUGGAGUUGGUAAAUCAAUUAGUGAGUCGUUGGAGAUUUUAAUAAUUGGGUGUGUUUUUCGUAGGCUUGCCAUUAUUGAAGUUG
rnacentral:tRNA from 1 species